AACAAUUACUUAUUCUAAAGUAGGGGGGAGGGCAGGCACUGUUCACGUUUGUUUUGAUUUUGCUUUAUUUACAACAAUACCAGCCGAAUGGGAGUGGGUUGGGAGGGUAAUUCUCAAAAUUUCAGAGGGUAAUUUUGUCCAUAUGGUUUAGCAGGGAGCCACUCGAUUUCACGCUAUUUACAACAAAACCGUGAGGUUUGGGCUGGUAUUGGGGCUGGGGUGGAAGGGCAAUUUUGUCCUCUGCGUUUGAGACGGAUUGGGGUGGGUUUGGGUUUGCUGUCAUUCAGUGAGGGUUUCGGGGAUGGGAGGCCAUGCCUCCGAUAGAGAGAGAGAGAGACAGAGCGAGAGAGAGAGACAGAGAGGGAGGAGUGGGGAUCUCAGUGCCAUUGCUGCAGAUCCUCGAUUUCAUGAGUGGGAGAGGGGGGACAGUCAGAGAAAAGUAUGGGGGUACUCCGAUCUCUCUCUCUCCCCUUCGUUUCUCUCUCUUAAUUUCCUUUUGGUUUUGGAAAUCUCUGACCUUUUGGGUGAUCUCACUCUUCCUCUCUCUCCUACGCGAGCCCUUUCUCAUCUCUCACUCUUCCUGUUUCUGUCCUCCUCAAACCCUAGCAGCCACAGCUCCAUCUCUUCCGUUUCUCUCAUCCUAGAACGGAAGAAAUAUGGAACAUCAGGGCUCUUCCAUUUGCUUCCACAUAUUUCUCGAGCUCCGGAUCGCUAGCCUCCGUAUGAAGGUUUUGGAUUUACUGGUCUUCGAUUCCGCCUCCCCUCUCCUCUACCUGACCCUCCUUUAGGGACGGAUGGACAGGGAGGGAGAGAGAGAGGGCAGAGAGCAUGCUCUGCGUUUUUUGGGGUUAACGGGUUACCCCACGGGGUUGCUGAGCAGAGGAUGUCUGAGGGAGGUAUGGGAGAGGGGAGGGUUUUCAGUUUUGUCCUCUGAUUCAACAGUGGGUGAAAUUCUGAAAGGGACAGUAUAAUGAAAGGGACAGAGUUGGUUUAAGCUAUUGCGAAUAGUCUUUUCAAAAAACAUCGCAGGGUUUGAAAACCUUUUCUUCUUGGUAUUUGGUGCAUCUAUGUUUGUCUUCCAAGAUCUUCUGUAUGAAAGACUAAAGAAAAGGAGGAAGGGGCUCUCAAAAAUUUCAGAUCCGAGAAAAUAAAAAGGUCUUGAGCAGCAACCAAUAUCAAAGGAGAAGAAAAAUCAGAAGGGAAGAGGAAGACGAUGGAGAAAAGAGAUGGGGAAGCUGCAAAGAAUUGGGGGAUGGGGUGCGGAGUGAGCUUCACGAGAAACAAAAACCAAUUGGGGGUGGGGAAGAAGAAAUGAAAAAGGAAGCAUACCUAGCCGCUGGGGUUUGAUGCUCCCAGAAAAGCUGAUUCCAAAAUUGUGUUUGUGGAGGUGAUUUGAGACGGAUUUCAAGCUGGGUUGCUGAGAUUCGAUUCAAAUUGGUGGAUUUGGUAUUUCAGGUGGUGGUUUUUUUUAUUUUUUAAUUUCUAUAGGGGAGUUGCAUGUGUCCAUGUCAGGUUCAUAAGCCAAAGGAACCAUUUUUCUGGAUAUAUUGAAAUAGAGAACGAUUUGGAGCAAUCGACUCAAACUUCUGAUCAAAUAAGAAAGUAUUGUCAAUGGAUGAGAACUCUUACAAGCAAGCUGCAAAUCUGUUCAAAGAAACCAAGAUCUGUUAAUAUCAAAUGCAUCAGCCAUUGGCAACGGAAUAGUAGAAGCAAAACAAUUCUGGUUUGCUUUUGUUCUGUACUCUGUAAAAUCUUUGAGCGACAAGAAUUCGGAUAAUUCACAGAAGAGUUCUGAUGAUAAUGGAUUUUCUCUCUUCCAAAUUUUGAGAGCUGCAAAGCUGAAGCAAAAGAGUUGCAGGAAAAUUUUGUGUGCUUGAGCCUGUUAAGCAAGUUAAAUGUCUUAUUCAUGUGGUUAAGGCUGGUGCAUUGAAGUCCCGCAGCAACGCGCGGGCAUUUAUGCUAUUACUUAUUCUAAAGUAGGGGGGAGGGCAGGCACUAUUCACGUUUGUUUUGAUUUUGCUUUAUUUACAACAAUGCCAGCCGAAUGUGGCUGGGUUGGGGGGUAAUUCUCCAAAAUUCAGAGGGUGAUUUUGUCUUUUGAGGUCAAUUCCUCCCCCCUCGAUUUUGCUUUAUUUACAACAAAACCGUGGGAUUUGGGGCUGGGUUGGAACGUAGUUAUUAAAAGUUAGGAGGGUAAUUUUGUCCUGUGCAUUUGAGACGGAUUGGGGUGGGUUUGGGUUUGCUGUCAUUCAGUGAGGGUUUUGGGGAUGGGAGGCCAUGCCUCCGAUAGAGAGGGAGAGAGAGAGACAGAGCGAGAGAGAGGUGUGGGGAUCUCAGCGCCAUUGCUGCAGAUCCUCGAUUUCAUGAGUGGGAGAGGGGGGACAGUCAGAGAAAAGUAUGGGGCCUGUAGUUAACGGGACACGAGUCUCAGGAGUAGAACCCAACCAGCUCUCAUCUCUCACUCUUCCUCUCUCUCCUACGCGAGCCCUCUCAUCUCUCACUCUUCCUGUUUCUGUCCUCCUCAAACCAUAGCAGCCACAGCUCCAUCUCUUCCGUUUCUCUCAUCCUAGAACAGAAGAAAUAUGGAAAAUCAGGGCUUUUUCAUUUGCUUCCACAGAUUUCUCGAGCUCCGGAUCGCUAGCCUCCGUAUGAAGGAAACGUUUAUCUUCUAAUUUUAGGGUUUUGUUUUGGGAGUUUGCAAACGCUUUCUGGGUCAGAAUUCAAAGAUUGUUGAGGAAUGGAUAUGGCUACGGCUUAGUUGUGAAUUAGUGGUGCAGCGGCAACUCCUAAGUUGCUAUUUAGUCAUGGCCUCCUGAGAUGAAAGAGCCAUGGGCGUGCAUGGCUGCUACUGUGUUUGCUUAGUGUGAGAGGCUGAUUUGCUUUUGGAAUUCUGGCCAAAUAGCCCCUUUAGACAAGAUAGUUGAAUUGAAGGAGAAAUAUAAGUUUCAUGUGUUAUUGGAUGAGAGUAACUCAUUUGGUGUGCUUGGAAAAUCUGGAAGAGGUUGAAAAAAUAGAUAUUAUUACUGGUGCAAUGGGACACGCAUUAGCCACAGAAGGAGGAUUUUGCACUGGAAGUGCUAGAGUCACCAAUCACCAACGAUUGAGUAGCUCUGGGUACGUCUUUUCUGCUUCUUUGCCCCCAUAUCUUGCGAGUGCUGCCAUUACUGCCAUUGAUAUCCUCGAGGAAAACCCUGGUCUGAUAACAAAGCUGAAGAAAAAUAUUGCCAUAUUAUGGAAAGGAUUGUCAGCUAUACAGGGCCUCUCAUUCGCUAGCAGUCCAGAAUCCUGAAUUGUCUUCCUCAGACUACAGAAAGCAGAUUCUGUGAAUCCUUUUCUGUCCUUUUCUGCCUCUCUACUUUUAAUUGUAAUGGUUGUGGUUAUGCAGUUGUUGAAAGAGCAUUCCAUCUUUGUGGUUGCCUCCAAAAAGUCAUCGCUUGAUAAAUGUCGUCUUCCAUUAGGAAUUAGAUUGUUCAUCUCCGCUGGCCAUAUGUAAUCCGAUCUGUUCAAGGCAGCUGCAUCCAUGAAAGGUGUUGCAGAAUUGGUGCUAGAUUAUAUAACCAAGCAGAUUGUCAUUUUCUGAAGGCGGUAUGUCUUUUUAACCAAG